rnacentral:tRNA from 1 species
CGGGCCGGGGCCGGGCGGUGAGGCAACCGUCUGAUACGCGGUUAGAGGCAGGUUCGACUCCUGCCGGCCCGA